GGGGCUGUAGCUCAAUUGUAGAGUGCUUGCCUAGCAUGCAUGAGACACUGAGUUCUAUCCUCAGCACCA
rnacentral:tRNA from 1 species